rnacentral:tRNA from 1 species
GGAGAGGUACCCAAGUUGGCUGAAGGGGCGGGUUUGCUAAACCUGUAGUAGGGCGUUUAGCUCUAGCGAGGGUUCGAAUCCCUCCCUCUCCGCCA